rnacentral:rRNA from 1 species
UACGUAGGGUGCAAGCGUUGUCCGGAAUUAUUGGGCGUAAAGAGCUCGUAGGCGGUCUGUCGCGUCGGCUGUGAAAUCCCGGAGCUCAACUCCGGGUCUGCAGUCGAUACGGGCAAACUGGAGUACUGCAGGGGAGACUGGAAUUCCUGGUGUAGCGGUGAAAUGCGCAGAUAUCAGGAGGAACACCGGUGGCGAAGGCGGGUUUCUGGGCAGUAACUGACGCUGAGGAGCGAAAGCGUGGGGAGCGAACAGG